rnacentral:rRNA from 1 species
CCCCCCCCCCCUUGCAUAUUCAAUUAGCUGAGGAAAAGAAACCAACAGGGAUUGCCUCAGUAACGGCGAGUGAAGCGGCAAAAGCUCAAAUUUGAAAUCCCCCCGGGGAGUUGUAAUUUGAAGAUUGCGUCUUGGAGGCGACCGUGUCUAUGUUCCUUGGAACAGGACGUCACAGAGGGUGAGAAUCCCGUGCGGCACGGCCCCCGGCUCCUUAUAAGGCGCUCUCGACGAGUCGAGUUGUUUGGGAAUGCAGCUCAAAGUGGGUGGUAAAUUCCAUCUAAAGCUAAAUACAGGCGAGAGACCGAUAGCGAACAAGUACAGUGAUGGAAAGAUGAAAAGCACUUUGAAAAGAGAGUGAAACAGCACGUGAAAUUGUUGAAAGGGAAGGGCAUGCCGUCAGAUUGUCAGUGUGGGUAAGAAGCGGGGUACAAAGACUGUGGAACGUGGCCCUCGGGUGUUAUAGCCGCAGUUCAUGCCCCGUCUCUUUCCGAGGCCUGCUUUGAGGACACCGACGUAAUGACGGUACGCCGCCCGUCUUAAAAAACCCGAACCAA